AACGAACGCUGGCGGCAUGCCUAACACAUGCAAGUCGAACGAGACCUUCGGGUCUAGUGGCGCACGGGUGCGUAACGCGUGGGAACCUGCCCUUAGGUUCGGAAUAACUCCCCGAAAGGGGUGCUAAUACCGGAGCAUGUCUUCGGACCAAAGAUUUAUCGCCUUUGGAUGGGCCUGAGUUGGCUUAGCUUGUUGUUAGGGUAAAAGCCUACCAAGGCUAGGAUACAUAGCUGGGCAGAGAGGAUGGUAAGCCACACUGGGCGUGGGACACGGCCCAGACUACUACGGGAGGGGGGAAUGGGGGAUAUUGGAAAAUGGGCGGAAGGCUGAACCAGCCAGGCCGGGAGAGUGAUGAAGGUCGUAGGGUUGUAAAGCUCUUUUACCCGUGAUGAUAAUGACAGUACCGGGAGAAUAAGCUCCGGCUAACUCCGUG
rnacentral:rRNA from 1 species